rnacentral:rRNA from 1 species
GAGAAUGCCGGAAUGAGUAGCGAGAGUGAAGUGAGAAUCUUUACCGCCGAAAAUCUAAGGUUUCCUGGGGAAGGUUCGUCCGCCCAGGGUAAGUCGGGGCCUAAGCUGAGGCUGAAAAGCGUAGGCGAUGGACAACAGGUUGAUAUUCCUGUACACCGAUGUUCGUCUGAGAGACGCGGGGACGCAGGGGGAUAGUUCGUGCCAGCUGCUGGAAUAGCUGGUCCAAGCGAGGUAGAUAGUCUUGUAGUUAAGUACGCAAGACGUUUCGAAGGCGUGAUGGGGAGGGAAAUUAGAGUACCGAAGUGAAUGAUUCCGCACUGACGAGAAAAUCCGCUAUCGAGAACAAAGGUGCCCGUACCGCAAACCGACACAGGUAGAUGAGGAGAGAAUCCUAAGGCGAUCGGAAGAAGGGUUGUUAAGGAACUCGGCAAAUUGAUCCCGUAAGUUAGCAAGAAGGGAUGCCUCUGGAAACAGAGGCCGCAGAGAAAUGGCCCAGGCAACUGUUUAUCAAAAACACAGGUCUCUGCUAAAUCGAAAGAUGAAGUAUAGGGGCUGACGCCUGCCCGGUGCUGGAAGGUUACGGGGAUUUGUUAGUCGCAAGGCGAAGCAAUGAACUUAAGCCCCAGUAAACGGCGGCCGUAACAAUAACGGUCCUAAGGUAGCGAAAUUCCUUGUCAGGUAAGUUCUGACCCGCACGAAUGGCGUAAUGAUCUGGGCACUGUCUCGACAACCUAUCCGGUGAAAUUGUAGUACUCGUGAAGAUGCGAGUUACCCGCGACUAGACGGAAAGACCCCAUGGAGCUUUACUGUAGCCUGAUACUGUGUUUCGGUAUUUCAUGUACAGGAUAGGAGGGAGGCUUUGAAGCGAGGACGUCAGUUCUCGUGGAGCCAACGUUGGGAUACCUCUCUUGAAGUACUGGAACACUAACCAGAACCCGUGAUCCGGGUUUGGGACAAUGUCAGGUGGGCAGUUUGACUGGGGCGGUCGCCUCCAAAAAGGUAACGGAGGCGCCCAAAGGUCUCCUCAGCACGGUUGGAAAUCGUGCAUCGAGUGUAAAGGCAUAAGGAGGCCUGACUGCGAGACAAACAAGUCGAGCAGGUACGAAAGUAGGGCUUAGUGAUCCGGCGGUAUGAGAGUGGAAUUGCCGUCGCUUAACGGAUAAAAGCUACCCUGGGAUAACAGGCUGAUCUCCCCCAAGAGUUCACAUCGACGGGGAGGUUUGGCACCUCGAUGUCGGCUCAUCACAUCCUGGAGCUGUAGCAGGUUCCAAGGUUUGGCUGUUCGCCAAUUAAAGUGGUACGCGAGCUGGGUUCAGAACGUCGUGAGACAGUUCGGUCCCUAUCUGUCGUGGGCGCAGGAUAUUUGAAGGGCGCUUUCCUUAGUACGAGAGGACCGGGAUGGACGCACCUCUGGUGCACCAGUUGUCACGCCAGUGGCACAGCUGGGUAGCUAAGUGCGGACGAGAUAAACGCUGAAGGCAUCUAAGCGUGAAACUCACCCUAAGAUGAGAUAUCCCACCAUUAUGGGUAAGACCCCAUGUAGGCUACAUGGUUGAUAGGUCGGGGGUGUAAGUAUGGCAACAUAUUUAGCUGACCGAUACUAAUAGGUCGAGGGCUUGACC